UACGAAGGGGGCUAGCGUUGUUCGGAAUUACUGGGCGUAAAGCGCGCGCAGGCGGCUCCUCAAGUCAGGGGUGAAAGCCCAGGGCUCAACCCUGGAAUUGCCUUUGAAACUGUGGAGCUUGAGUACGGUAGAGGUGAGUGGAAUUCCCAGUGUAGAGGUGAAAUUCGUAGAUAUUGGGAAGAACACCGGUGGCGAAGGCGGCUCACUGGACCGUUUCUGACGCUCAGGCGCGACAGCGUGGGGAUCAAACAGG
rnacentral:rRNA from 1 species